GGAGGGGUGCGUGAGUGGUUGAAACGGCAGUCCUGGAACGACUGUAUGUCAGCAAUGGCAUCAAGGGUUCGAAUCCCUUCCCCUCCGCCA
rnacentral:tRNA from 1 species